GCCUGGGUGGCUCAGUCAGUUCAGCCUCUGACUUCAGCUCAGGUCAUGAUCUCAUGGUUCGUGGGUUCAAGCCCUGCAUCAGGCU
rnacentral:tRNA from 1 species